rnacentral:tRNA from 1 species
GCCCUUUUAGUUUAAAGGUUAAGACACCGUCUUUUCACGACGAUAAUAUGAGUUCGAUUCUCAUAAAGGGUA